AGAGUUUGAUCCUGGCUCAGGAUGAACGCUGGCGGCGUGCUUAACACAUGCAAGUCGAACGAAGCAUUUAAGGACGAUUCUUCGGAUGAGGACUUUUAUGACUGAGUGGCGGACGGGUGAGUAACGCGUGGGUAACCUGCCCUAUACAGGGGGAUAACAGUUAGAAAUGACUGCUAAUACCGCAUAAGCGCACUAGAACCGCAUGGUUCGGUGUGAAAAACUGAGGUGGUAUAGGAUGGACCCGCGUCUGAUUAGCUUGUUGGUGGGGUAACGGCUCACCAAGGCGACGAUCAGUAGCCGGCCUGAGAGGGCGACCGGACACAUUGGGACUGAGACACGGCCCAAACUCCUACGGGAGGCAGCAGUGGGGAAUAUUGCACAAUGGGGGAAACCCUGAUGCAGCGACGCCGCGUGAGUGAAGAAGUAUUUCGGUAUGUAAAGCUCUAUCAGCAGGGAAGAAAAUGACGGUACCUGACUAAGAAGCCCCGGCUAACUACGUG
rnacentral:rRNA from 1 species